rnacentral:ncRNA from 1 species
CUUCUAAAGAUGUAAUGUUAUUUAUUCCCAUUUCUUUGCAUGUCAAAGUGAAGAAAUUCAACCAUGUGCGGGUAAAUGGUGGGAGUAACUAUGACUCUCUUAAGGUAGGCGGAUGCCUUGUCAUUUAAUUAGUGAUGCACGUGAAUGGAUCAUUAACAUGAUUCCCCACUAUCCCUAGCUAAUAUAUUCUAGAUAAACCACAUCCAAGGGAAUGGGCUUGAUAGAAUUAGUUGGGAAAGAGUACCCUAUUGAGAUUGACUCUAGU